UCCAAAAGAAAGAAAGAAACGACUGUUCACUCUCUAUCUCUUCCUCAUGAUCUGUUUCAAUGAAUCCAACCACAAUCCUUCCUCUCAAUCGAUUUUGGCCCUCAUACAAACUCAAUCGUCCGCUCACACGCUCAUGCUUUCGGCCACUUCAACGGACACACAACGAUCCUGCCUUACCCAACCGUGAUUUCGGACAACCACAAUCCUUCCUCUCAAUCGAUUUUGGCCCUCAUACAAACUCAAUCGUCCGCUCACACGCUCAUGCUUUCGGCCACUUCAACG
rnacentral:lncRNA from 1 species